AAAACACUAGCUUGGUUCUUUAAUGUUGCCACAAAGCGCAGUCGCAAAUUAAAUAGUUUGGAUUUGUAUACAUACAUGCAUACAUACAUACUCCAUAGCAGAAGAUUUGUAUGGGUUGAUACCAAAUUUUGAUGCGGUUUUUGUUUGAAUUUUAUUUGAGAGAGUUCAUUGAUAUGAUGUUAUAUAUAUAUAGCAUAGGCAAAGGAUAUGAUUAUGGCGGUUUAAUUUGUGUGUUUUAAUGUAAGCAAGCGUGCUGCAGUUUUCCCUUUAAUUAAUUUGUUAAUGAUAAAACACUUGAGAUAUUA